rnacentral:sRNA from 1 species
AAUUAGCCCCGAUAGAAGCAAGUAUCCUUUUUUUUAAGAAAAGCACUUCUCCCGAAACUUCGGGAUGCACUCAAUGUGACAAAAAAAGAUACUGCGGAAAGCGGGAAAUAGC